rnacentral:tRNA from 1 species
GGGCCGGUAGCUUAGACAGGUAGAGCACCCGACUUUUAAUCGGGUGGUCGCGAGUUCGAAUCUCGUCCGGCCCA